UACGGAGGAUCCGAGCGUUAUCCGGAUUUAUUGGGUUUAAAGGGAGCGUAGGUGGAUUGUUAAGUCAGUUGUGAAAGUUUGCGGCUCAACCGUAAAAUUGCAGUUGAAACUGGCAGUCUUGAGUACAGUAGAGGUGGGCGGAAUUCGUGGUGUAGCGGUGAAAUGCAUAGAUAUCACGCAGAACCCCGAUUGCGAAGGCAGCCUUCCGGCGCCCUACUGACGCUGAGGCACGAAAGUGCGGGGAUCGAACAGG
rnacentral:rRNA from 1 species